rnacentral:rRNA from 1 species
AGGCUUAACACAUGCAAGUCGAGGGGUAACAGAGAUUGCUUGCAAUCCGCUGACGACCGGCGCACGGGUGCGUAACGCGUAUGCAACCUACCUUUUACUGGGGGAUAGUCAAGAGAAAUUUUGAAUAAUACCCCAUACGAUUUGACUCACUCCUGUGAGACAAAGGAAAAUUUAGAUGGUAAUAGAUGGGCAUGCGUCCUAUUAGUUUGUUGGUGAGGUAACGGCUCACCAAGACUACGAUAGGUAGGGGUCCUGAGAGGGAGAUCCCCCACACUGGUACUGAGACACGGACCAGACUCCUACGGGAGGCAGCAGUGAGGAAUAUUGGACAAUGGAGGAAACUCUGAUCCAGCCAUGCCGCGUGCAGGAAGACGGCCCUAUGGGUUGUAAACUGCUUUUAUACAGGAAGAAACGUUAGUACGUGUACUAACCUGACGGUACUGUAAGAAUAAGGAUCGGCUAACUCCGUGCCAGCAGCCGCGGUAAUACGGAGGAUCCAAGCGUUAUCCGGAAUCAUUGGGUUUAAAGGGUCCGUAGGCGGUCUAAUAAGUCAGAGGUGAAAUCCUAUCGCUCAACGAUAGAACUGCCUUUGAUACUGCUAGACUUGAGUUAUUGUGAAGUAGUUAGAAUGUGUAGUGUAGCGGUGAAAUGCAUAGAUAUUACACAGAAUACCAAUUGCGAAGGCAGAUUACUAACAAUAUACUGACGCUCAGGGACGAAAGCGUGGGUAGCGAACAGGAUUAGAUACCCUGGUAGUCCACGCCGUAAACGAUGGUCACUAGCUGUUUGAUGCACAUUGGUGUGUUGAGUGGCUAAGCGAAAGUGAUAAGUGACCCACCUGGGGAGUACG